AAUUCAUUUUUUUUCUUCACCGGCCGACCCCCUCUCUCUCUAUAGACUCUCUUUCUCUACCUUCUCUUCAUCUCUCUUACUCUCUCCAUCACGCUUGCCACCGGCUGGCGACCAUAUGACCCCUUUCUCUUCCUCCUCUCCACCACCAAUGAAACCCCAACCCUAGUCAUCGUCGUUGCUUCAGAUUCGCGCCACCGCCGCCAAACCAGUCGGAGAAACGCAUCACCGCCACAGAAUCCCUUUUUGCUAUGAUUUUUAUAGUGGGGGUUCUUUAUAGAUGUGUUUAGCUCAAUUUUACUCGUUUCUUGAAUUUUAGCUCUUUGGAUUUUGCUAGUAUAGCCUAAAUUACUCCAUAUAUUUAUAUUGUGGUUAAGUAUAAAGAAGGGAUUUUGUUUGGAAAAGAAUCACGUUUUGCUAUGUUUUUGGUAGUGGGGGUUCUUUAUAUAGAUGUGUUUAGCUCAAUUUUACACAUUUCUUGAAUUUUAGCUCUUUGGGUUUUGGCAUAUAGCCUAAAUUAUUCCAUAUAUGCAUAUUGUGAUUAUGUGGAAAGAAGAGAUUUUGUUUGAAAAGAAUCUCUUUCUGCUAUGUUUUUGAUAGUGGUGGUUCUUUAAGAUGUGUUUAGCUCAAUUGUACUCAUUUCUUGAAUUUUACCUCUUUGGGUUUUGCCAUAUAGCCUAGAUUACUCCAUAUAUGUAUAUUGUGAUAAAGUGAAAAGAAGGGAUCUUGUUUGAAAAAGAAUCCCUUUUUGCGAUGUUUUUAGCAGUGAUGGUUCUUGAUAUAGAUGUGUUUAGCUCAAUUUUACUCAUUUCUUGAAUUUUAACUCUUUGGAUUUUGCCAUAUAUUUUUAUUAAUCUAGUUCAAAUUGACAAUGGUUAUUAGUUGAAAAGAAGGGAUUUUGUUUGGAAAGAAAUGCCUUUUGCGAUGUUUUUUCUAGUGGUUUUUAUGUAGAUGUUUAGCUCAAUUUUACUAGUUUCUUGAAUUUUAGUAGUGUAUUUUCCUUGUAGCUUAAUCAGUUCACAUAUAGCUUAUCCUUUGUAUCAAUGAAAUUCAAAUUGAUAAUGGUGAGUAACUGAAAAGGAGGGGAUUUGUUCUUGUUGUUUUUAUGGUGGUGGCAUCCGAUACUAGCAAUAUAAUCUAGUCAUUACUCACAUCCAAAUUACACUUUAUAUCAAUGUAGUUUAAUUGACGAUGGUGAUUUUCUUGUUCUAAUAAGAAUUAAUGACUAGAUUAUAUAGCUAGUAUUUUGGCUUGCUUCUUAAAUAUUGUCGAUGUUGGCUAGCUAUAUGACAUUGCUAUCUAAUUUUCUUGCUCAAAAUUUUGUUUUUGCUAUCUCAUAUUUACUCGAGCUUUGUCUUGUAUAUCUGAACAGGACCGAAGGAAUUUGCUGCACUAUGGGGUUGUCUUGGUCGAUGGAGGGGAAAGGUCUUUUAAAUGAUGGAGAAUUAUUGAUUAGGAGUCUGAAGACAUUAAAUUUUGUAUUAAGAAAUAAUUGUACAACAAAUUUAUAUUAAUUUUUUUUUCAAAAAUAUUAAUAUUAAUGGCGACUAUAAGUUGCCGCUAAAGGUGUAUUUCCUCUAUAUUGAAAUUGCCUAUUGUAGCAAGGUGAAGUCGCCUCUAGUCAUUUUCUGUGGCAACUAAAUUCUUUCAUUCAGUGGCGACUCUCUUGGUGGA